rnacentral:lncRNA from 10 species
UCUUGCCAGAGCCUCAGCCAAGAAUCCUCUCAUUUCCCCACAGGUCUCACCAGUGGCAGCCUGGGGUAGAGGGAAGAAUGGGGAAUGUAGACCCCAAGUCACUGUGUGGGGGAACUCAGUUUCCCCAUUUUAAGACCGGCAAGUUGGACCAGAUCCAGAUAGAUGCCCCAAAGGCGGCUUCCAGAUGUGAGUCUAUGGUUCUCUGAAGACAGGAAGCCUUCUCCAGGAUGUGAUGGAGACACCACCGGCUUUCUCCCAACAGCAGUGUGGGAAAUCUUACAGGCCGGAUGAACUUGUCGUACAGCACAGCACCGUGGACGUUCACGAGGCUG